GACGAACGCUGGCGGCGUGCUUAACACAUGCAAGUCGAGCGGAAAGGCCCUUCGGGGUCCUCGAGCGGCGAACGGGUGAGUAACACGUGAGUAACCUGCCCCAGACUUUGGGAUAACCCUCGGAAACGGGGGCUAAUACCGGAUACGACACAGCUUCGCAUGGGGUCUGUGUGGAAAGUUUUUCGGUUUGGGAUGGGCUCGCGGCCUAUCAGCUUGUUGGUGAGGUGAUGGCCUACCAAGGCGACGACGGGUAGCCGGCCUGAGAGGGCGACCGGCCACACUGGGACUGAGACACGGCCCAGACUCCUACGGGAGGCAGCAGUGGGGAAUAUUGCACAAUGGGCGGAAGCCUGAUGCAGCGACGCCGCGUGAGGGAUGACGGCCUUCGGGUUGUAAACCUCUUUCAGCAGGGACGAAGCGUAAGUGACGGUACCUGCAGAAGAAGCGCCGGCCAACUACGUG
rnacentral:rRNA from 1 species